GACGAACGCUGGCGGCGUGCCUAAUACAUGCAAGUUGAGCGAUGAAGAUUGGUGCUUGCACCAAUUUGAAGAGCAGCGGACGGGUGAGUCACGCGUGGGGAAUCUGCCUUUGAGCGGGGGACAACAUUUGGAAACGAAUGCUAAUACCGCAUAACAACUUUAAACAUAAGUUUUAAGUUUGAAAGAUGCAAUUGCAUCACUCAAAGAUGAUCCCGCGUUGUAUUAGCUAGUUGGUGAGGAAAAGGCUCACCCAGGCGAUGAUACAUAGCCGACCUGAGAGGGUGAUCCGCCAAAAUGGGAACGAGACACGGCCCCAACUCCUUCGGGGAGCAGCAGUAGGGGAUCUUCGGCAAUGGACGAAAGUCUGACCGAGCAACGCCGGGUGAGUGAAGAAGGUUUUCGGAACGUAAAACUCUGUUGGUAGAGAAGAACGUUGGGGAGAGUGGAAAGCUCAUCAAGUGACGGUAACUACCCAGAAAGGGACGGCUAACUACGUG
rnacentral:rRNA from 1 species